rnacentral:rRNA from 1 species
GACGAACGCUGGCGGCGUGCUUAACACAUGCAAGUCGAACGGAAAGGCCCUGCUUUUGUGGGGUGCUCGAGUGGCGAACGGGUGAGUAACACGUGAGUAACCUGCCCUUGACUUUGGGAUAACUUCAGGAAACUGGGGCUAAUACCGGAUAGGAGCUCCUGCUGCAUGGUGGGGGUUGGAAAGUUUCGGCGGUUGGGGAUGGACUCGCGGCUUAUCAGCUUGUUGGUGGGGUAGUGGCUUACCAAGGCUUUGACGGGUAGCCGGCCUGAGAGGGUGACCGGGCCCAUAGGGAUUGGGGAGGGAGCAGGAGUGCUACGGGGGGCAGGGGUGGAGGAUAGAGCAAGAUGGGCGGAGUGCUGGAGCAAGGAUGCCGGGUGGGAGAUGACGGCCGUCGGGUUGGAAACCGGUUGAGCCUGUAACGAAGAGUGAGUGACGGUAAUGGCUCAGGAAGCACCGGCUAACUACGUG